GAUGAACGCUGGCGGCGUGCCUAAUACAUGCAAGUCGAGCGAACGGACGAGAAGCUUGCUUCUCUGAUGUUAGCGGCGGACGGGUGAGUAACACGUGGAUAACCUACCUAUAAGACUGGGAUAACUUCGGGAAACCGGAGCUAAUACCGGAUAAUAUUUUGAACCGCAUGGUUCAAAAGUGAAAGACGGUCUUGCUGUCACUUAUAGAUGGAUCCGCGCUGCAUUAGCUAGUUGGUAAGGUAACGGCUUACCAAGGCAACGAUGCAUAGCCGACCUGAGAGGGUGGUCGGCCACACUGGAAGUGAGACACGGUCCAGACUCCUACGGGAGGCCGCAGUAGGGAAUCUUCCGCGAUGGACGAGAGCCUGACGGAGCAACGCCGCGUGAGUGAUGAAGGUCUUCGGAUCGUAAAACUCUGUUAUUAGGGAAGAACAUAUGUGUAAGUAACUGUGCACAUCUUGACGGUACCUAAUCAGAAAGCCACGGCUAACUACGUG
rnacentral:rRNA from 1 species